GAAGCCACACAGGGGAGCGCCUCGAGGCGCUGAGAGUGCGGACAGAGCCGCAGACCCUCAAACCUGAUCCGGCUAGCACCGGCGUAGGGAGUGGGACCUCCCCGGCA
rnacentral:ncRNA from 1 species